UACGUAGGGCGCAAGCGUUAUCCGGAAUUAUUGGGCGUAAAGAGUUCGUAGGCGGUUUGUCGCGUCUGCCGUGAAAGUCCGGGGCUCAACUCCGGAUCUGCGGUGGGUACGGGCAGACUAGAGUGAUGUAGGGGAGACUGGAAUUCCUGGUGUAGCGGUGAAAUGCGCAGAUAUCGGGAGGAACACCAAUGGCGAAGGCAGCUCGCUGGGCCACACCGUGACGCUGAGACGCGAAAGCUAGGGGAGCGAACAGG
rnacentral:rRNA from 1 species